rnacentral:rRNA from 1 species
AUUAGGAAUCUUGUGCAAUGGGUGAAAGCCUGACACAGCGACGCCGCGUGAGGGAGGAAGGCCUUCGGGUUGUAAACCUCUUUUGACGAGGAAGAACACAAUGACGGUACUCGUCGAAUAAGCCCCGGCUAACUCCGUGCCAGCAGCCGCGGUAAUACGGGGGGGGCGAGCGUUGUCCGAAGUUACUGGGCGUAAAGCGCGUGUAGGCGGGUUGUUAAGUCCGCUGUGAAAGCCCGGUGCUCAACGCCGGAGGGUCGGUGGAUACUGGCAGUCUUGAAGUGGCUAGGGGGAAAUGGAAUUACCGGUGUAGCGGUGAAAUGCGUAGAUAUCGGUAGGAACACCAGUGGCGAAGGCGGUUUCCUGGAGCUAACUUGACGCUGAGACGCGAAAGCUGGGGGAGCAAACGG